rnacentral:rRNA from 1 species
UGGGGAAUAUUGGGCAAUGGGGGAAACCCUGACCCAGCGACGCCGCGUGGAGGAAGGAGCCCUUCGGGGUGUAAACUCCUGUUGUAAGGGAAGAAGGCGGUGACGGUACCUUACGAGGAAGCCCCGGCAAACUACGUGCCAGCAGCCGCGGUAACACGUAGGGGGCGAGCGUUGUCCGGAAUUACUGGGCGUAAAGCGCACGCAGGCGGAUGCGCGCGUCGGCUGUGAAAUGCACCGGCUCAACCGGUGCACUGCGGUCGAUACGGCGCAUCUGGAGUGCGGGAGAGGGAAGCGGAAUUCCCGGUGUAGCGGUGAAAUGCGUAGAUAUCGGGAGGAACGCCGGUGGCGAAGGCGGCUUCCUGGCCCGCAACUGACGCUCAUGUGCGAAAGCCAGGGGAGCGAACCG